GUAUUCAAACGGAACACUCUUCGGUCGAGUAGUAGUCAACAACACGAAUGUGAAAGGUGCCAAAAUAAAUAAGCAUCAUAUAAUUAUAAUAAAGCGUGCAUUUUGCUACUCUUUUUGGUCUCGCACACAUCAAAGAUACAAAAAUUGUUUUAAAAUGGGUUAUAUUGUUUGGUUAAUGUUAACGGCUUUAAUCUACCAAUCAUGGACAGAGCGGCAACUUAAUUUUACGAAAGAUUUUCGUAUAAAAAACAUCAAAUUUAUCCGUCCACCACUACUUCAUCGAUUCAGUUCAAAACAUCAUAGCGAUGCCAUUAAUAGCAGGUAAAUACAAA